AACACUGAUUGUGUUGAGGUAACACUGAUUGUGUUGAGGUAACACUGAUUGUGUUGAGGUAACACUGAUUGUGUUGAGGU